UCCAAGUUUUCCCUACAUUUAAAGCUAACUUCUUAUCUUGUACUAAACAGAUAUGUAGAGAUCCAGGAAUCGGAAGGCAUUGCGAAAACUCGAUUUAUCCCAAUGAUUGUUCCAAUGUUUCACCUUAACCCACCACACUACGGAUACAUACGGCACAUCCGCCUAACGAAAGCAAUAUAAAUCCUGCCUGGGGCCUAAGUCCCCAUGGUGCGGCAAAGGUCCGCCUACAGGGCCCAUAAGCUGUGAGAGCUCAUUUCAUCUUUACCUACAGGGUGAUGAUGUCGAAAAUCAAGAAGAAGCAAAUAGUCCCACAUUGUUGACACCAGUAGUAAAGGCAUUGCUCCCAUUACGAUGAUCGAACGCAAUGAUUGAAACAAUCAGAGGACUCAAUUCUAAGAACAUACUAAGUAUCACAGAAGGUGAACCGCUUACAUUAUGUAAGAAAAUAAGCGACAAGUACACACGAGGACCUGAUGCUAUUACGAAGAAAGCAAUGAAAUCUACUGUCCAUAUAAGACCGACUAAUCAAGAACGGGAAAGGACAACAUUGAUAGUGAAAUGGUAGACCCAAUGGAAUAACUCAGCGAAAGUCCGGUGAAUACGAGGAAGAUGCAAGCUGUAUCCUUUUGUAUUCGCUUCGCGUCGUGGAGAACCAACAUUCCGAGUGCUCUUCCUGGAGGAGCAUAUGCUACAAUCGGAGGACCAAAUUGACGUAUUUGAUAAGGACUGCCGAAACCAUAGGCGACUCUUUCACUAUUUGCACUCAGUCUGUUGCGUAAGUUCCACCUUAACCAUGAGUUCGAGGUUUGGUCAUGCGGCGUAACAUUGCUGACCACGAAGGAAUGGUAGAGCAAUAGAAUGAUCCAAAAAAUUACCUAAAUAUGGCCUUUGAAGAUCCCCUUUUUACCACGCGCCGAAUUUCUCACUAACGUGGAUGCUACACUCGAAUACUCAAAAACCCCGAAGAAUUGCGUCGUGUUCAUCUCAAAUAAUACUUACGGGAUGUCUUCGCAGUUACGUUAUGUUCAAUUUGAUAAUAAUACGAAGUAGUAAGUUCAAUUAGGCGAAAGUAUGCAUUUCAUACAACCUCAUUUUGAUGCAUAUGUUAACUAAUUCAAUAUUCGCGUUUGGUGGCUUAAAGUUCCGCAAUUUUUAUGGUAGUCAAAAGGUAGUAUAGGUCCCAGAACGAAAACGUGGAUUGUUACUCAUG